GACGAACGCUGGCGGCGUGCUUAACACAUGCAAGUCGAACGGAAAGGCCCUGCUUUUGUGGGGUGCUCGAGUGGCGAACGGGUGAGUAACACGUGAGUAACCUGCCCUUGACUUUGGGAUAACUUCAGGAAACUGGGGCUAAUACCGCAUAUGAGCUCCUGCUGCAUGGUGGGGGUUGGAAAGUUUCGGCGGUUGGGGAUGGACUCGCGGCUUAUCAGCCUGCUGGUGGGGUAGUGGCUUACCAAGGCUUUGACGGGUAGCCGGCCUGAGAGGGUGACCGGCGACAUUGGGACUGAGAUACGGCCAAGACGCCUACGGGAGGCAGCAGUGGGGAAUAGUGCACAAUGGGCGGAAGCCUGAGGCAGCAACGCCGCGUGCGGGAUGACGGCCUUCGGGUUGUAAACCGCUUUCGCCUGUGACGAAGCGUGAGUGACGGUAAUGGGUAAAGAAGCACCGGCUAACUACGUG
rnacentral:rRNA from 1 species